UACGAAGGGGCUAGCGUUGCUCGGAAUCACUGGGCGUAAAGGGUGCGUAGGCGGGUCUUUAAGUCAGGGGUGAAAUCCUGGAGCUCAACUCCAGAACUGCCUUUGAUACUGAAGAUCUUGAGUUCGGGAGAGGUGAGUGGAACUGCGAGUGUAGAGGUGAAAUUCGUAGAUAUUCGCAAGAACACCAGUGGCGAAGGCGGCUCACUGGCCCGAUACUGACGCUGAGGCACGAAAGCGUGGGGAGC
rnacentral:rRNA from 1 species